rnacentral:rRNA from 1 species
ACAGAGGGGGCAAGCGUUAUUCGGAAUUACUGGGAGUAAAGGGUGCGUAGGCGGUGUGUUAAGUGAGAUGUGAAAUCCCGGAGCUCAACUCGGGAACUGCAUCUGAUACUGCGAGGCUAGAGUAUUGGAGAGGAGGAUGGAAUUCCCGGUGUAUGAGUUAAAUCUCCAGAUAUCGAGAUGAACACCCGUAGAGAAAGCGAGCCACCGGUUCAAUACUGACCCUUAGUGCGCGAAAGUUAGUGGAGCAAACAG